UAGCAUAUCAAUAAGCGGAGGAAAAGAAACCAACAGGGAUUGCCUCAGUAACGGCGAGUGAAGCGGCAACAGCUCAAAUUUGAAAUCUGGCCUCGUGCCCGAGUUGUAAUUUGCAGAGGAAGCUUUAGGCGCGGCACCUUCUGAGUCCCCUGGAACGGGGCGCCAUAGAGGGUGAGAGCCCCGUAUAGUCGGAUGCCCAGCCUGUGUAAAGCUCCUUCGACGAGUCGAGUAGUUUGGGAAUGCUGCUCAAAAUGGGAGGUAAAUUUCUUCUAAAGCUAAAUACCGGCCAGAGACCGAUAGCGCACAAGUAGAGUGAUCGAAAGAUGAAAAGCACUUUGAAAAGAGGGUUAAAUAGCACGUGAAAUUGUUGAAAGGGAAGCGCUUGUGACCAGACUUGCGCCGGGCUGAUCAUCCGGUGUUCUCACCGGUGCACUCUGCCCGGCUCAGGCCAGCAUCGGUUCUCGCGGGGGGAUAAAGGUCUCGGGAACGUAGCUCCUCCGGGAGUGUUAUAGCCCGGGGCGUAAUGCCCUCGCGGGGACCGAGGUUCGCGCAUCUGCAAGGAUGCUGGCGUAAUGGUCAUCAGCGACCCGUCUUGAAACACGGACCAAGGAGUCAAGGUUUUGCGCGAGUGUUUGGGUGUCAAACCCGCACGCGUAAUGAAAGUGAACGUAGGUGAGAGCUUCGGCGCAUCAUCGACCGAUCCUGAUGUAUUCGGAUGGAUUUGAGUAGGAGCGUUAAGCCUUGGACCCGAAAGAUGGUGAACUAUGCUUGGAUAGGGUGAAGCCAGAGGAAACUCUGGUGGAGGCUCGCAGCGGUUCUGACGUGCAAAUCGAUCGUCAAAUCUGAGCAUGGGGGCGAAAGACUAAUCGAACCAUCUAGUAGCUGGUUCCCGCCGAA
rnacentral:rRNA from 1 species